rfam:Paenibacillus sp. MSt1 Contig_10, whole genome shotgun sequence.
GGGUAAUGUCUACUGUACCCUUAUCAUUGUAGGCACUCGGCCGUGCUGUGGGUCUCCGACCUUAGCGUCUCCAUUCGGAGGAAAAUGGCAAGCGCAAUGGUGCGGUGCGAGGUGGGGUUAGAUGCCCC